rnacentral:lncRNA from 1 species
UUAUUAGAAGAUAGAUGUUCCAAAAGAUGUUUCAGGGUGCUUUGUGCACGCUUCCAAAUACCUGAAUAAAUAUUGACUAGAAGUGAUUCAGGGUGAUAUGCAGGUAGAGAGCCACCAACAUCUGCUGUUAUUUCCAAAAUACUCGAUAGACCAAUAUCCGUAAAAAUAUCAUAUUUCUGUUCAUAGUUUUCAGAAACGCUUGAAACUAUACAAUUCUCCUUGUUCAUUCUCAUAACACCGUUUGACACGCAUGUUUCAUUACCGUCCUUAAAUGUCAAUUUUUCAACAUCACGAGUAUCAGAACCACUAUUCGACAUGUGUUUUUUGCUCUGUGGGAGUA